CCCCGUGCCCACAGCGUCUCGGAACCACCCCAUCCCAUGCCGAACUGGGUCGUGAAACGAGUCCGCGCCAAUGAUACUCGGCUGGCAGCAGCCCGGAAAAGUCGGUCAGUGCGGGGG
rnacentral:rRNA from 1 species